GUCUUCCUCAAUUGCACAAGUACUUCAAAGAAACGUGCAUGUAAGAGAAAAACGUAACCGUGGUUAGGUGGGCAAACAUAUAAAAAGGAGCAGAAAAUGGAGCGGUCCUUCAAAAAAGUUUGGUUUCAUCCUUAUUGAGGCGCAAACAGUUUAGUCUGGGCAAGGAAAUGGAAAGGGCUGUAGUGAUCAUUGGAGAGGUUUAAGGACAUCAUGAAUUUUCUUUGUGGCGCAUUGAGAGACAGAAACAGCAUAAAGAAUGGCGAGUAAUGAAGGGG